CCUACGGGAGGCAGCAGUGGGGGAUAUUGCACAAUGGGGGAAACCCUGAUGCAGCGCCGCCGCGUGGGCGAAGAAGUAUUUCGGUAUGUAAAGCCCUAUCAGCCGGGCAGAAGCAAUGACGGUACCUGAGUAAGAAGCACCGGCUAAAUACGUUCCAGCAGCCGCGGUCAUACGUAUGGUGCAAGCGUGAUCCGGAUUUACUGGGGGUAAAGGGAGCGCAGGCGGCACGGCAAGCCUGAUGUGAAAGCCCGCGGCCCAACCGCGGGACUGCAUUGGGAACUACCGGGCUGGAGUGCGGGAGAGGUAGGCGGAAUGCGGAGUGUAGCGGUGAAAUGCUGAGAUAUUAGGAGGAACACCAGUGGCGAAGGCGGCCUACUGGACGGUGACUGACGCUGAGGCUCGAAAGCGUGGGGAGCAAACAGGAUUAGAUACCCGAGUAGUC
rnacentral:rRNA from 1 species